UACGUAGGGACCAAGCGUUGUUCGGAUUUACUGGGCGUAAAGGGCGCGUAGGCGGCAUAUUAAGUCAGCUGUGAAAAUCUCCGAGCUUAACUCGGAACUGUCAGCUGAUACUGAUGUGCUAGAGUGCAGAAGGGGCAAUCGGAAUUCUUGGUGUAGCGGUGAAAUGCGUAGAUAUCAAGAGGAACACCUGAGGUGAAGACGGGUUGCUGGGCUGACACUGACGCUGAUAGCGCGAAAGCCAGGGGAGCAAACGGG
rnacentral:rRNA from 1 species